GACGAAUGCUGGCGGCGUGCCUAAUACAUGCAAGUUGAGCGAUGAAGAUUGGUGCUUGCACCAAUUUGAAGAGCAGCGAACGGGUGAGUAACGCGUGGGGAAUCUGCCUUUGAGCGGGGGACAACAUUUGGAAACGAAUGCUAAUACCGCAUAACAACUUUAAACAUAAGUUUUAAGUUUGAAAGAUGCAAUUGCAUCACUCAAAGAUGAUCCCGCGUUGUGUUAGCUAGUUGGUGAGGUAAAGGCUCACCAAGGCGAUGAUACAUAGCCGAUCUGAAAGGGUGAUCGGCCACAUUGGGACUGAGACACGGCCCAAACUCCUACGGGAGGCAGCAGUAGGGAAUAUUCGGCAAUGGACGAAAGUCUGACCGAGCAACGGCGCGUGAGUGAAGAAGGUUUUCGGAUCGUAAAACUCUGUUGGUAGAGAAGAACGUAGAUGAGAGUGGAAAGCUCAUCAAGUGACGGUAACUACCCAGAAAGGGACGGCUAACUACGUGCCAGCCGCCGCCGUAA
rnacentral:rRNA from 1 species